GAUGAACGCUGGCGGCGUGCCUAAUACAUGCAAGUCGAGCGAACAGACGAGGAGCUUGCUCCUCUGACGUUAGCGGCGGACGGGUGAGUAAAACGUGGAUAACCUACCUAUAAGACUGGGAUAACUUCGGGAAACCGGAGCUAAUACCGGAUAAUAUAUUGAACCGCAUGGUGCAAUAGUGAAAGACGGCUUUGCUGUCACUUAUAGAUGGAUCCGCGCCGCAUUAGCUAGUUGGUAAGGUAACGGCUUACCAAGGCAACGAUGCGUAGCCGACCUGAGAGGGUGAUCGGCCACACUGGAACUGAGACACGGUCCAGACUCCUACGGGAGGCAGCAGUAGGGAAUCUUCCGCAAUGGGCGAAAGCCUGACGGAGCAACGCCGCGUGAAUGAUGAAGGUCUUCGGAUCGUAAAACUCUGUUAUUAGGGAAGAACAAAUGUGUAAGUAACUAUGCACGUCUUGACGGUACCUAAUCAGAAAGCCACGGCUAACUACGUG
rnacentral:rRNA from 1 species